GUUGGUGCGGAGGAUGACUUUCCAACUUUUUUCCCCAUCAGAGCGGAAGUGUUGAUGCCUUUGCUGUUAAGCCAGUGAUUUGUUCUGAUGAACCAAG